AAAUAAUGAAACAAAAAUUAAAAAAUAAGUAUUGAGACAAAAGGCCCAAACACUGCGUAGUGGGGCUUUGAGUUUUCUCUCCUCUUUCUCUCUCCCUCUCUCUCUCUC
rnacentral:ribozyme from 1 species